AGUUCUGCAGGUGCACUUUAUGGCCCAUUCUCUACCAUGGUUGUUGCUCCUCCUUGGUCUUUUCAUAGGGUCAGGAACACUGGGAGAAGAUACAGUGGGGAAGAUAUCCUUGGGGAGUUGGCCACUUGGCCCCUGGAGGUCCCAGCAGAGCAAGAGGUAGAAAGUGUUACAUGGAGCUCUUGAGAGCGUGUUGCUGUUUUACAACAAGGAUGAACAGACAAACCAGUUCUGGUUUCUGAGACUCAGGGACCCUACAGUGGAUGACUGAACAUUCCCCACCACAGCUACUCUCUUCAGAUCAGCCCCCUGAGGCUGCAGGACUAUAAGCCUAUAAGCCUGGGUAACUCUGCAUACUUCCUCAAUCAUUAUCACCAGGGAUUUCACCCUGCUUGUCUAUGAGAUGCUGUAGGAGUUGAACAUCUUUGCCAGCUCCCAGAUCAUGAAGGAUGGGACCUGCUUCAUCACCCUGGCCUGCUCCCUGGAACAGGCUGGAGAGAAUGUGCAGAACAGCUGGGAGCCUCCUAGUCAUGGGGCAGUUGUGUCCCAUGGGGGGACCACUCUCAGUGUCCCCUGGAUAUCUGGGGAAAGUGAGAGCUAUCACUGCACUGCCAGGAAUCCCACCAGCCAGAGCUCCAGCUCUGUCCUUACCAGACCCCUUUGCUCAGCCUCCUUUGUACCCCACUCCCUGAGGAAAGAAUUUCUUCCUUUUUUGAUUCUGGGAGUUUUGGGGAUUGAAUAGAUUUCACCUGGACAUGGGGAGAAACCAAGAAGAGAAGUACGAGAUGGCGGCCAUCCUGUGAGACACAGAGUUAAAGAAGUUCGCAUGUGGAGUGCUGCCUGAGGCCAGCAUUUCCUGGUGUGAGAGAAGGACAUUGACACUGAUUAAGGCAUAAACCCUAUUUCAUUUACAAACUGAGUUCAAAAUUAUCAGGAAACUGCUAUGUGUCUUCUGUUUAAAAUAAUCUGUUUAUGUUUUAUUGAAGUGUGUUUUUAAGUGUUCAGAAAGAAAAAGGAGCUUAUUUAUUUAAGAAAAAUUGAAUGGAACAUAAAAACAUUGUUAUUGUCACACAUAUAUAUUAUUAAGUUUUUGUUAAUGUUUAAAUAACUAGAUUCAGCCCAGCUUCAGCUUGAAUGUCAUCUCCUUGGAGCAGCCUUUGGCCACUAUACUUAAGUAGAUCUUUCCUCUCAUUCAUAAUCAAUGUAUGUUUAAAAAAAUAAUCUGGAGUCUGUUAGGCUGAGACGGCCCUAGCAAUCUGGGAUUCUACACAAGCAAACAGAAAACCAACUCAGAAUGACUUAACCAGUCGGAAACCACCAGGUAAUCUCUAAAUGGGGAAUUCCAUUUAAGCCAUCAAAUAUUUUCUUUUCUUCUUUUUAUUUUGCAUAGAGACAGGAUCUAACUCUGUUGCUCAGGCUGGUCUCAAACUCCUGGCCUCAAGUGAUCUUCUCACCUUGGCCUCCCAAAGUGCGGAGAUUACAGGCAUAGACCACCAUGCCUGGCACACUUAUUUGUUGGUUUACUUAUUUAUUGUUUAUUUCCCUCACAAGAUAUUCAGCUCUAUGAGGAUAAGAACUAUUUCUAUAUAUAUUUUUUCAAAACUAAAAACCCAAAGGGUAAUAGUGUUUGGCUUAUGAUAGAUACUUCAACAUUUACUGAAUGAAUGAAAGAAUGAAUUGGAGUUGAGAAUAUUUUUUCUUAAGAUUUGAAGACUAUUAGGAGGUUUUACAAGGAUCUGGGGCCUACACCAUUGUCUGUUUUCUCUUUCUGCUUUUGAUGGAGAGAAGCAGCAAAUUAAAUCUUUAUCCUAAAAGUUUCCUAGAAUGCUCAACAGUUAGCAAAAGAAAAAGUUAAAAUAAAAGAAACAUUUAUGUUUUGUUUUGACAGAAA
rnacentral:lncRNA from 1 species